GCAGUCAUGGUCGAGUGGUUAAAGCGUUAGAAUAGAAAUAUAAUUACAUCUGGAUCGCAGGUUAGAAUCCUGCUGACUGUG
rnacentral:tRNA from 1 species